rnacentral:rRNA from 1 species
CCAGACUCCUACGGGAGGCAGCAGUGGGGAAUAUUGCACAAUGGGGGGAACCCUGAUGCAGCGACGCCGCGUGAGCGAAGAAGUAUUUCGGUAUGUAAAGCUCUAUCAGCAGGGAAGAAAAUGACGGUACCUGACUAAGAAGCCCCGGCUAACUACGUGCCAGCAGCCGCGGUAAUACGUAGGGGGCAAGCGUUAUCCGGAUUUACUGGGUGUAAAGGGAGCGUAGACGGCAUGGCAAGUCUGAUGUGAAAACCCGGGGCUCAACCCCGGGACUGCAUUGGAAACUGUCAGGCUAGAGUGUCGGAGAGGCAAGUGGAAUUCCUAGUGUAGCGGUGAAAUGCGUAGAUAUUAGGAGGAACACCAGUGGCGAAGGCGGCUUGCUGGACGAUGACUGACGUUGAGGCUCGAAAGCGUGGGGAGCAAACAGGAUUAGAUACCCCUGUAC